GUAAAUCCAUCGAGCUGUUUGUUAUCAAAAAUGAAACAGAACUUUUCUCAGGACUAAAUCCAGCAUCUCAAAACUAAAUCUGGAGCAAGUGAACUAAUCAGCUCCAGGAGAUUUCUUCACGCCAGAUGAUCGGCGACGGAGGAUGGAGCGUCCCGCGCACAAUGCGCUUGAAGACACCACUGGUGCGAUUUUCUUCUUCUGCUUCUUCUCCACUGCAGCCUCCUUCUCCUUAGCCUCCUCCGCAGCCUCCUUUGCCUCCUUCUCCGCAGCCUGUCUCUUCUUGGCUUCUAAAGGAUCUUGGGGUGGUGGUCUCGAGUAAUCCACACCAGUCAUGCGCUGCCGGUCCUCAAACUCGUUCGGCGGGCUCUCAAUCUCACGGGUAGAUGAAGAUCUGAGCCUAGGUGCAGCUGGUGGCUUUGUCCUGGAAGAGCAAAGUAUGGAAAUAAUAAUGGUGUGGUUCAGUCAAAUAUUUUUUCUGUAAAGAAAUUAAAAUAUGGAAAUUAUAAAGGUGUUGGAUCAUACUGAGAAGCCGUUGUGGGGUGAGGAGGUCCAGCAAGACGACCCAUAAUCCCAUUCAGCAAACCCUGACAUGGGGCACCUGCAGUACCAGUCAACAGUAGGUUAAGAUAACCCCAUAUGUGCUUUCAAAACCAAUUUUAACAGAAGGUGAUUGAGAGACAAAAUAAUAACCUGUAAGGGUAAGGGGUGUAAGAGAGAAAAGUGAUGGUCUCCUAGCUUGAUCCCUGCUUGAUUGGACCCUAACACAAGUAGCAAAAAUCAACAUUUUAAUAAAAUUACUUGGCAAAAGAAAUUUUGUAAACAAAAGGCUGACAGAACUAUCCAACUGAAAUAUGAAGAGAUUGCUUACUGAUGGAGCCAAAGCUGAGCCGCUUCCAAAAGCGCUCUGGGUAACAGUUGCAGUUGGGGUUUGAAAUGAUGUAGGAACUGCAGAAUUUGAUGUUCCUGAAUAUUGUAAGGUUUAACAAAUGUUAAGACAGUAUUGAAUAGACUUAUAUUAGAUUAUAUGCCGAAUGAUGAAGAUAAUCAGAUCGAACAGUGGAUAACCAAAAGCAGAAUUUGUGGUGCCAUGAUUUGCAUAUGCUACAUUAGCAAUCAGUGCGAGUCCAAACAUCCACUAACAUAUAUACAAGAACAAGAUGCAUGUUGAGGAUGCAAGCUUAUCAUUCAAAAUAAAUCAGUAGUUACCAGGUGCGGCAGGGGGGUAAGCAGGGGGUAGCCUCCUAAGCAAAGCAGAAUAGUCCUCACCAGCCUUCCAUCCUGAGGGUCCAAACAGUGAGUACUAACAUAUAUAGACAAACAAGAUACAUAGAGACAAUGCAGCUAACUGUAAGUUAACAAUGCACAAUGUCACAGGUAAUAAAGGGAGAAAUGGUUCUCCU
rnacentral:lncRNA from 1 species